rnacentral:rRNA from 1 species
CCUACGGGAGACAGCAGUGAGGAAUAUUGGUCAAUGGCCGCAGGGCUGAACCAGCCAAGUCGCGUUAGGGCUGACGGUCCUAUGGAUUGUACACCUCUUUUGUCAGGGAGCAAAUGGCGCCACGUGUGGCGCUUUGCGAGUACCUGACGAAAAAGCAUCGGCUAACUCCGUGCCAGCAGCCGCGGUAAUACGGAGGAUGCGAGCGUUAUCCGGAUUUAUUGGGUUUAAAGGGUGCGCAGGCGGAAUGUCAAGUCAGCGGUAAAAUUUCGGGGCUCAACCCCGUCGUGCCGUUGAAACUGGCGUUCUUGAGUGAGCGAGAAGUAUGCGGAAUGCGUGGUGUAGCGGUGAAAUGCAUAGAUAUCACGCAGAACUCCGAUUGCGAAGGCAGCAUACCGGCGCUCAACUGACGCUCAUGCACGAAAGCGUGGGUAUCGAACAGGAUUAGAUACCCUAGUAGUC